rnacentral:rRNA from 1 species
UACGGAGGGUGCAAGCGUUGCUCGGAAUUAUUGGGCGUAAAGGGUAGGUAGGUGGUCUCAUUUGUCUGGGGUGAAAGCCUUGAGCUUAACUCAAGAAGUGCCCCAGAAACGGUGAGACUAGAGUCUUGGAGAGGGUCGUGGAAUUCCCGGUGUAGCGGUGAAAUGCGUAGAGAUCGGGAGGAACACCAGAGGCGAAGGCGGCGACCUGGGUAGAUACUGACGCUGAGGUGCGAAAGCGUGGGGAGCAAACAGG